rnacentral:snRNA from 1 species
GUGCUCGCUCGCAGCACAUAUACUAAGAUUGGAACGAUACAGAGAAGAUUAGCAUGGUCCUUGCGCAAGGAUGACAUGCAAAUUCGGUGAAGCAUUCCAUAUUUAA